CAGGCCUAACACAUGCAAGUCGAACGGUAACAGGAAGCAGCUUGCUGCUUUGCUGACGAGUGGCGGACGGGUGAGUAAUGUCUGGGAAACUGCCUGAUGGAGGGGGAUAACUACUGGAAACGGUAGCUAAUACCGCAUAACGUCGCAAGACCAAAGAGGGGGACCUUAGGGCCUCUUGCCAUCGGAUGUGCCCAGAUGGGAUUAGCUAGUAGGUGGGGUAAAGGCUCACCUAGGCGACGAUCCCUAGCUGGUCUGAGAGGAUGACCAGCCACACUGGAACUGAGACACGGUCCAGACUCCUACGGGAGGCAGCAGUGGGGAAUAUUGCACAAUGGGCGCAAGCCUGAUGCAGCCAUGCCGCGUGUAUGAAGAAGGCCUUCGGGUUGUAAAGUACUUUCAGCGGGGAGGAAGGGAGUAAAGUUAAUACCUUUGCUCAUUGACGUUACCCGCAGAAGAAGCACCGGCUAACUCCGUGCCAGCAGCCGCGGUAAUACGGAGGGUGCAAGCGUUAAUCGGAAUUACUGGGCGUAAAGCGCACGCAGGCGGUUUGUUAAGUCAGAUGUGAAAUCCCCGGGCUCAACCUGGGAACUGCAUCUGAUACUGGCAAGCUUGAGUCUCGUAGAGGGGGGUAGAAUUCCAGGUGUAGCGGUGAAAUGCGUAGAGAUCUGGAGGAAUACCGGUGGCGAAGGCGGCCCCCUGGACGAAGACUGACGCUCAGGUGCGAAAGCGUGGGGAGCAAACAGGAUUAGAUACCCUGGUAGUCCACGCCGUAAACGAUGUCGACUUGGAGGUUGUGCCCUUGAGGCGUGGCUUCCGGAGCUAACGCGUUAAGUCGACCGCCUGGGGAGUACGGCCGCAAGGUUAAAACUCAAAUGAAUUGACGGGGGCCCGCACAAGCGGUGGAGCAUGUGGUUUAAUUCGAUGCAACGCGAAGAACCUUACCUGGUCUUGACAUCCACGGAAGUUUUCAGAGAUGAGAAUGUGCCUUCGGGAACCGUGAGACAGGUGCUGCAUGGCUGUCGUCAGCUCGUGUUGUGAAAUGUUGGGUUAAGUCCCGCAACGAGCGCAACCCUUAUCCUUUGUUGCCAGCGGUCCGGCCGGGAACUCAAAGGAGACUGCCAGUGAUAAACUGGAGGAAGGUGGGGAUGACGUCAAGUCAUCAUGGCCCUUACGACCAGGGCUACACACGUGCUACAAUGGCGCAUACAAAGAGAAGCGACCUCGCGAGAGCAAGCGGACCUCAUAAAGUGCGUCGUAGUCCGGAUUGGAGUCUGCAACUCGACUCCAUGAAGUCGGAAUCGCUAGUAAUCGUGGAUCAGAAUGCCACGGUGAAUACGUUCCCGGGCCUUGUACACACCGCCCGUCACACCAUGGGAGUGGGUUGCAAAAGAAGUAGGUAGCUUAACCUUCGGGAGGGCGCUUACCACUUUGUGAUUCAUGACUGGGGUGAAGUCGUAACAAGGUAACCGUAGGGGAACCUGCGGUUGGAUCACCUCCUU
rnacentral:rRNA from 1 species